AUGUCUUUCUUUUCGGGUGUAAGAUUGUGUUGCUCAUAUACGUGCAUAGAUAUGACUGAAAAGCCUAAGGCGGGACCUGCCUGCAUCCUCCCAGGCUGUUCUCACGGGGCCUCUGCCGUAGAGCUGACCUUGACGUGUGCGUGCGUCCUGCUUCUACGCACCUGGUUAGUUCAGAGCUUUGCUGAAGAAAGUGUGUUCCUGCCUGCCCACACUGCUUCACAACGGGCUUCUCUUUGUAUAACUGUUGUGUCCCAGCCAGACACUUUGGUGCUUCUCGUGGGACACAGGCUUGGAUCUGCACCUGGGGGUGGCAUGGAUUUCAAAGUCAUUAUUUAAGGUGUGCCGUCUGUAGGGUGGAGGUGGACCGAAGACCUGCCUCACCGGAUACUGGCUUCAAAUCACCUUUCAUAUUUUCUUGUUGGGAAGACAACUGUCGGAGAGUCUUCUUGUUAUCAUCAGCAAAAAAUGGAAACAGAUCAAGACAUUAAAAAUGCCACAGUGGCCAGCAGUUAAUGAUGCCAGAGUAAUGCAAGCUUUGGCAAAGGAAUUUUUCAAGACCGUGCGCUUCUCUAGCCAGGAAUCAGGAAAGGCUGAACUAUCCUUUUCGUCUCAGCUGUUUCUUAUAUCAAUGCAACCCCUCCAAAUUAAAGUGAAUUGAGACAUUCAUUGCCUUUUCAACUUAAUUGAGUGCUUACUAUGUGUGAAUCACUGUACAGAAUAGGGGAGGGAAAAUGAGGGAGGCAAAUAAGGUGUGGUCCCUACCUUGAAUGUAUUUACAAGAGACAGUUGUUUUUUUGGGGGGGGAGGUUGUUUCUGCUCCUAAGUGUGUCCCUAAAAUAGGAAGCAGUAUUGGAGUGGGUAGCCUUUCCCUUCUCCAGGGGAUCUUCCCAACCCANNNCUCCCACAUUGCAGGCGGAUUCUCUACCAGCUGAGCCACAAGGGAAGCCCUAAAUUUCUUUAAUGCAAAACAAAACUCUUAAUGUGGGUAACUCAGGGCAUCUUAAUUCCAUUUUUUUGGUCUUCUGAUAGUUAGGACCCAAUUUAUUGAUUUAAUAUACAUUCAGUAGGCUUUAGAAGUAUUAAUACAUUAUAGUUGGAGUAAAUUUGAAUAAAUCCUUCCCCUCUUAGGUGUAGACUGUAUAUGGGAGAAAUAUAUUGUGUUCAUACAUUUCUUGGGGAGCUGGGAGGUGAAUUAUACCUGUUGUCUCUAUAGGCCUCUGCCUCCCAUGCCCUCAGGGCCUGCCAUUCUGAGUGAGUUAUUAGCACAGAGAAGGGAAAGGUUUGGCUUAAACUUGUGGGUGCUGCUCAUGGACCCAAGACAGGGCAAGGAAUGUGCAAAACAGACCCAAGCAAAGGCUCUGUAUAAGAAUUCGGCCAUUUCAGUAUUCAUUGCGUUGUUGUCUGUAUUCCAUGAGUUGGAUGACUGUAUAAUUUUUCCAAAAUGUUAUUUCUGAUCUGGGAAUAAGUCAUGAUUUUUCCAGUGUUAAGAUGCUAAUAUGACUGUAGACACAAGUAGUGUCUGUGACACAUUUUAGUAUUUUUGAGCCAACAAUAGACAUGUCUUUGUCUUGAGUAAUGUCCACAUCUGAAUUGAAAAUGUGCCAGCUUUUUUUUCUUUAACAUCAUCAACAGACUUCUUAAUUAAGCUGCCAAUACGUGCCAUCAAUAGCAUUGUGUGCUGUGUGUCAAAUGAAUUGUGUAAGUGCUGUUUCUCUCUUAUUUAAUAAACAGUGUUGUUCCCUAUAAAAUGGAUUUAAAGUGUUCUUUUAAUGGAGCAUUAUAUCAGUCCCUAAAAAAUUUGAUGAAAAUUCUCUAAUCAUUCUUUUUUAUUUAAUUUCUAAACACUGUUAUUCAGCUCCUGAGUAAGGAAUAAACCUAAUCUGACCAAUGACUUUAAUUAUAUGGUUCAUCCUUAAUACAAUGUAUUGUCAUACCCAUAAACUCCUGAUGGUGAUACUGGAUAUUUGAUGUAUCACUUUCAGUUUGUGUAAACUAACUUCCAGGAAGUCUGAGUUGUGAACUUGUAUGGUACUAGACUGUUGAUGUUUAUUUACUGUUCUGAGAGAUCUAGAGGGACCACCUGUGUAUUCCUUGUGCCUAGGACAGUGCCUGGUACAUAGAUACAUGUUCAGUGAAUAUAUGGUGAUUAAGGCAUAUAAAAGCUUUUUUUCACCUAUGAGUUGUAAAGCUGUGUAAAGGACAGAGGGGUCUUGCUAACAGAGUAUGCACCUCUGUUGGUUUGUAGUUUACAGUCAGUGUACUUAGAAUGAGUCCAAAUCAGCUGGAUACUUUGUUUAUCGUCCAGUCCAUUGGUCUCUUAACUGGUGCCUAGGGUUCACCAGUCCAGCCCUGUCAUUGGUACCAACCUCCUCUCUGCGUCCCUUGACCCUUGCCCCCCUCUGCACUGGGGGCAUGGGGAUGGGGGUGGGCAGGGCUGUUUUGCUUCUCCUCUGGCUUGUCCACCAGUGGGAGAGCAAUCACUCUGUUCACUGGGUCCUUGUGGUGUGCCAGGGGCUGAGCUCGGUGCUUUCACGUAUCCUCUUACUCAAUUAUCUCAUUUAAACCACACAAGGACCACUUGAAGUGGACAUUAUCCAUUGCAGAGACAUGCAUCUUAAGUCAUGAGAUCUAAAUCCAGAUCUCUUAGAUUGCAGAGCCUGAACUAUUAACCCCUACUCUCCACUGCAUCCCAGGGGAAACUCCCGCUGCCUGGGCGUAGGGGAGGGGUCACUUCAGAUCUGGUUAUAGUCCUAGAUUCACUGCAUUCAGUAUUCCUCAACAGCAAACUGUCUAACAGAUAAAACCCAGCGAAUCACAGUUGUUUGGAGAAUGGGGGAGGGCAGAGCAACUGGCAGAAAGCGAAGUUGGAAACAAACCAAUUUGAGUCAAACCUUUACCCUUUACCUCAUAAUCCUUUUUCCUUGGUAAACUUUCUUUUCUUGUUUUUUUUUUUUUUUU
ensembl:lncRNA